GGGGGUAUAGCUCAGGGGUAGAGCGCUUGACUGCAGAUCAAGCGGUCCCUGGUUCAAAUCCGGGUGGCCCCU
rfam:Fukomys damarensis contig59476, whole genome shotgun sequence.